CUUACCCUUUUCCUCUUGUCGUCUCAGUCGGAUCACGAAAAAUCCACACCCAACCCUGCAAUAACCUCUCACGCCUGGUUGCUGGUCUCCUCUGCUCACUCACAGCCAGUAACAUUUCUUUGCCUGCUCUCCUGCCUCACCUGCCUGCCUGCCUCCCUGCUCCUCUGUUUUGAAAACCUGGGAAAAUUCUCGAUUGGACUCACCCAGGCCUCUACCUCACGUCCUCCCCAUCCUGCAUCACUUCACCUGCAUACAAACCCUCCCGAGCUCUCUGAUGUUCCGCAUCUCUGCUGAUCAGCAGCGCAUCAGCUUUCUGGGAGGAGGCGACGCCUUUGAUUCGCCGCUUGACUGAAUGAAUCCCCAAAAACCAGACCCCGCUGAGUGGCGAGGGCCCGGCCCGACUCGCAGUGACCCACCGCGCACAGCAGGAGGCAGCAGCUCGUGUUACAGCAGCCAAGUGUGCAGACCUCUCAGCAGUCACACAUUUUACUGACAUGAAACGGAGAGAAGCAGAAUUCAUUCAUGUUUCUGUAGUUUUAGACUUUUAUGGUGUUUAUAAUAAAUGUUUCAGAGGUUCA